rnacentral:rRNA from 1 species
CGAACGCUGGCGGCGUGCUUUACACAUGCAAGUCGAGCGAUGAGAUCCCUUCGGGGAAGGAUUAGCGGCGAACGGGUGAGGAACACGUGAGGAAUCUGCCUUCAACACUGGGAUAACUCCGGGAAACCGGGGCUAAUACCGGAUACGAGACCUGCAGGCAUCUGCGGGUCCGGAAAGUUUUUCGGUUGAAGAUGACCUCGCGGCCUAUCAGCUUGUUGGUGAGGUAAUGGCUCACCAAGGCGACGACGGGUAGCCGGCCUGAGAGGGCGACCGGCCACACUGGGACUGAGACACGGCCCAGACUCCUACGGGAGGCAGCAGUGGGGAAUAUUGGGCAAUGGAGGGAACUCUGACCCAGCGACGCCGCGUGCGGGAUGAAGGCCUUCGGUUGUAACCGCUUCAGCAAGGAGAAGCGAAGUGACGGUACUUGCAGAAGAAGCACCGGCUAACUAUGUGCCAGCAG